rnacentral:lncRNA from 1 species
GGAAACUUGAGUGAUUUCUAUAAGGCCACGUAAGCGUAGCUUAUCCGUCGUGUCCUGAUAACGAGAUACGCGCCUCUUAUCGGGAUCGUCGACACGUCGGGAGGUCUUGCUGGACUUGUCUUACCUUAGCGAUAUAUCUUGCGCAUUUGGGAUUCUGGUGAGACUUUGGGUCUUCUCAGAUUGAGGUUUUCCUCUAAGGAAUCCGACGAGAUUGCGAGUUCCAUGGUAGAGGAUUACUAUGCGGCUUGUGGCAAUUUGUGAUGGACUAGUUGGAGCACCCCUGCAGGGUUUAAUCUUUCGGAAAGCCGUGCCCGCGGUUAUGUGGCAAACAUGGAUAUUUUGUUAACAUCCGGUUCUAGACAACUUAAAGUAAUUCUAAUAAAACUUGCCAGCUGAGUGCGUUACUGUGACUGUUUAUUUCAGAGUUCCUUCUCUGAUCGAGAACACGGUGGGGUUAUGAAUGACGUAAGUAGGUGUUCAAGAUCACUUAGUGAUCACCCUAGUCUUCGGC